rnacentral:rRNA from 1 species
GAUGAACGCUGGCGGCGUGCCUAAUACAUGCGAGUCGAGCGAACAGACGAGGAGCUUGCUCCUCUGACGUUAGCGGCGGACGGGUGAGUAACACGUGGAUAACCUACCUAUAAGACUGGGAUAACUUCGGGAAACCGGAGCUAAUACCGGAUAAUAUAUUGAACCGCAUGGUUCAAUAGUGAAAGACGGUUUUGCUGUCACUUAUAGAUGGAUCCGCGCCGCAUUAGCUAGUUGGUAAGGUAACGGCUUACCAAGGCAACGAUGCGUAGCCGACCUGAGAGGGUGAUCGGCCACACUGGAACUGAGACACGGUCCAGACUCCUACGGGAGGCAGCAGUAGGGAAUCUUCCGCAAUGGGCGAAAGCUUGACGGAGCAACGCCGCGUGAGUGAUGAAGGUCUUCGGAUCGUAAAACUCUGUUAUUAGGGAAGAACAAAUGUGUAAGUAACUAUGCACGUCUUGACGGUACCUAAUCAGAAAGCCACGGCUAACUUCGUG